UACGUAGGUGACAAGCGUUAUCCGGAUUUACUGGGCGUAAAGGGAGCGUAGGCGGAUAAUUAAGUGGGAUGUGAAAUACCCGGGCUCAACCUGGGUGCUGCAUUCCAAACUGAUUAUCUAGAGUGCAGGAGAGGAGAGUGGAAUUCCUAGUGUAGCGGUGAAAUGCGUAGAGAUUAGGAAGAACACCAGUGGCGAAGGCGACUCUCUGGACUGUAACUGACGCUGAGGCUCGAAAGCGUGGGGAGCAAACAGG
rnacentral:rRNA from 1 species